GUACAGUGUGGUAAUUGGAUUUAAUGUGAAGUAAACAAGUUAUUACGUUGAUAGAACUUGGUAAACGAUGGUACUACAAUCAGACUUUAACGGAGAAUCGUAGGGUGAAGGAGAUCUGAAUUAAGCUAGUGGCCAUAUAUGUCGAUGUUUACUAGGGCCAUGCCAUUUUCUGGAUGAUAGCAGAGUAAAAACUUAAAGAUCAAUGUCUGUCACCUUGAACGUCACCGUGAAAAGUCUGCACUGUCCAUGAUCACACUUUUGCUGAAAGAACUUCUCCCUCAGAGACCAUUCCAUGUAAAGCCUGAUACCUCACUUUCACAAACAUUUCUACAGGAGGUAAAGUUUUCCACCUCUAAAAUCAAUUUGACCACCUGUAUUUUUCGAUUUUUCUUUAGCCAGCAUUUGCAGUUGAAACUGAGGGAUAAUCUUUUCAAAUUAUGAAGACACAUUAACAAGUAUUGAACUCAUUUGACAUUUGUUGAGCUAUUUUCUAUAUUAUAUUUUG